AGUCCAGCGGCAGGGGCCACCAGCGCAGGCUCUCCUCCUCACAGAAGCCGGGAGCUGGUCAUCCAAGAAGAAGCAGCCUCGUUUGUUUCGGGUGUCAUCGAACAGCCAGGUCUUGCUUACUCCUGCCUUGGGAAGUCCUUCCCAAUGUCUAACCAAGAUCUGUACCGCUGAAGUACCAGUUCUUUGACCCUCGGCUUGACAUGGCUAAUUUGAGAGGUAAGGAAGGAACUGUCACCAAGCUUUAGUCACUUUCUUUAUUGAGCUUCCUGGACUCCAACUGUUGGGAUAGGGAAACUAAGACUGGGCUAGACUGGUGAGGCGUCCAAGUGCCCCUUAAGCACUUGAGGAUCCCAAAUCUAAAAACUUUUGUUUAGAGAAGGGGAGUCAGUGUCACAAAAUGCUUUGAAAUCCCCCUUCGUUGUCUGCAUCUCUACCCAAAGAAAGAGGCGGGAGCCAGAGACCUUUGGAAAGUGAUAUGCUCCCGGACUCUGGGAGCCCCUCACCCCCACCCCGCCGCUGACUCCACCUCCUGGGGACAUUCCGACAGGGUCCCUGAGAGAUCCUGGGAGGGUGAGAAUCCCCUCCAUCGAGCUCAAGCAGAAGGCAGACCAUGGUCACCUUGAGCCAGAGGGGCACCUACAAGGGGCACCGAGCAGGGGCCGGCUUUUGGAGGGAAUCUUGAAUGAGGAGCAGGUGGAGAGAGAAAGGAGGCCACUCUCAACUGAGGAAGGGAGGGCUGGCAGGGAGGGGCUGGGGAUAAUUUAUGAUAUCAUUGUUCCCCCGCCCCACUUUCCCAGCCCCCACCCUCUUCCCAGCCCCCUGCUACUGUACCGUUGCUAGGAGAUGCUGGCUCCGUCUGGGGCUGGGAGGGUGUAGCAGGCGGAGACUGUUCCAUCUGGACUCCUCCUCCCCCACCCAGGGGAGGGCCCGGCCCUGAGUUUCAUCUUCCACCCCUUCCCAACCCCUGACAGACACCAGUCUCCUCUGUCGUUCCCCCAAAUCCAGCCAGCGUGGGACUAGAAGGGUUCCCAGACAGCCUGAGGAUCUGGCACAAGGAAGGGAAAAGAGAGCUGUGGAGAGAGAGGCCAUCCGACUUAGUAGGGGCACUGAGGAACAGCUGGCUCAUCUCAGGCCCUCUAGGAGCCAGCCCUGCUGGGAAGAGGGCGAGAGGGGGUUAGGGACACAGGCCUCAAGGAGCCCAGGUUUGAGGGAGGCUGAGUCCUUACCUUUGGGGAGCUUCCAGUAGGAUGUGUGAGGCAGACCUCCCAUCCCCACCCCUCCGGUCAAGUUCAAGGUUAGGGACCUGGCAAAGGCAGGCUUGGGGGUGGGACGGCGGAAGGAGGCAAGUCUGGAAAGUCUGAGGAGAGUCUAGAAAGGAGGAAGGUGACAGGGAUCUGAGCAGAGGUGUGGCCUAGAUCCCUUCCUCUUUCUGAAAUUCUCUUCUCAGGUUUUUAAAGCCCUUGGAGAAGUCGGGUGAGGUGAACUUUGGGGGCUCCCGACUCUGGGAGGAGUAGGAAAAGAACGCGGUAUCCACCUGAUUUCUGCGCAGCCCCUAUUGAUUUUGUUCUUUCCUAGGCACAGGGAGGAACUGACCUUGAUUUGGCACCUGCUUGCUUGUGUAAGCCCUUUUUUCUUUUUUCUUUUUUUGGUCAUUUUUUGUUUUUUAGGACCACACCCGUGGCAUAUGGAGGUUCCCAGGCUAGGGGUCCAAUCGGAGUGGUAGCUGCUGGCCUAUACCACAGCUCCCAGCAACGCCGGAUCCUUAACCCACUGAGCGAGGCCAGGGAUAGAACCCAAGUCCUCGUGGAUGCUAGGUGGGUUUGUUAACCACUGAGCCACAAUGGGAACUCCCUAUGUAAACCCUUUCUUAGCCAUUCUUAUCUCAGUGAAUCUUCCAACAGUCCUGAAAACUGAGUGAUACUGUCGCCACUACACAAAGACAUAAUCAGAGCCCCAAGUCACAGGACUGGUAAGUGAAGCUGGGCUUCAGGUGGGUCCUGGUGGACCCCAGAGCACAUGCGGUCUCCCCCUCCUGUACUGACUGCCUAAAGAAUAUGUUCCAAACACAGUCAGGAACACCAAGAGGAGAUGGGACCAGGUAGGCAGGGAGCCUUCUCUGCAAGUCCUCAGGGGGAGAAGGGGCAUUCCCUCUCAGGCGCAGGACUGAAGUCGGAGGAAUGCUACAGCAGCCCUUGAGGAGUGAAGGCAGGCCUGGGGAAGGGGGCACAGGAGCCCUAGAAGUCAAUAAAAUCCUCCCAGCUGGGCUCCUGGCCAAGGGAAUAUGCUUCCCAUCUUCCUAAAGCCAAGUACCUGGGGCCACCGCCGCCUCUCACCUGCUUGAGAUCUGAGUUCCCGCCCUGGGCAUUCUCCCCCACCCCCACUCCACGGCUCUGGGUAGAGCACCUCGAAGAGAUGUCUAGACUCAGCCACUGUCAUGGUAGCCCCUUGGAGAGCCCUCCCUGGUCUCUUACCUCUCCUGGCCCCUGGACGGUUACCUUCUGCCUCCUGCUAAGGUCUCCAUCCAAAGAGAAGCUCUUUCACUCUUGACCUAUUUAUUUUCUUUUCAGACCAAAAAGAAGAACCUACUUCACCCACUUGUCCUGGGUUCCCUCUGAGACGCUGUCUUGAUUGACUGAAAGAUGAGGCUAAACUCUAGCAAGUUGAGUGGCUCCUCCCAGAAUCCUUUAAGCAGGAUAGAAGUGGGGAGGCCCCAGCCUCCAGCCUGGGCAGCCCGUUAGACUGGAGCCGCCUGGCAAAGACUUUAUUUCAUCAUUGCUCCAGUGUCUGCAAGCUGUCCAUCCUGGCCAGCCCUGGUUUCCCCUGUGUCGUCUGAACUGAGAAUCUUCUGAGAUGGAAGUCCCAUCUCAUGCCUAAUAAAGACUCUCAAAUAUUG
rnacentral:lncRNA from 1 species